rnacentral:tRNA from 1 species
GCUCGCGUAGCCCAAACGGAAGAGGCGAUAGUUUCAAAAACUAUUUACGUGCAAGUUCAAAUCUUGCCGCGAGUA